UACGAAGGGGGCUAGCGUUGUUCGGAUUUACUGGGCGUAAAGCGCACGUAGGCGGGUCGUUAAGUCAGGGGUGAAAUCCCGGAGCUCAACUCCGGAACUGCCUUUGAUACUGGCGACCUUGAGGCUGGAAGAGGUUAGUGGAAUUCCCAGUGUAGAGGUGAAAUUCGUAGAUAUUGGGAAGAACACCAGUGGCGAAGGCGGCUAACUGGUCCAGAUCUGACGCUGAGGUGCGCAAGCGUGGGGAGCAAACAGG
rnacentral:rRNA from 1 species